rnacentral:piRNA from 1 species
UACAUAGGAGUUGACCUUAGAGAGAGAAG